AUUGAACGCUGGCGGCAGGCCUAACACAUGCAAGUCGAACGGUAACAGGAAGAAGCUUGCUUCUUUGCUGACGAGUGGCGGGCGGGUGAGUAAUGUCUGGGAAACUGCCUGAUGGAGGGGGAUAACUACUGGAAACGGUAGCUAAUACCGCAUAACGUCGCAAGACCAAAGAGGGGGACCUUCGGGCCUCUUGCCAUCGGAUGUGCCCAGAUGGGAUUAGCUAGGAGGUGGGGUAACGGCUCACCUAGGCGACGAUCCCUAGCUGGUCUGAGAGGAUGACCAGCCACACUGGAACUGAGACACGGUCCAGACUCCUACGGGAGGCAGCAGUGGGGAAUAUUGCACAAUGGGCGCAAGCCUGAUGCAGCCAUGCCGCGUGUAUGAAGAAGGCCUUCGGGUUGUAAAGUACUUUCAGCGGGGAGGAAGGGAGUAAAGUUAAUACCUUGGCUCAUUGACGUUACCCGCAGAAGAAGCACCGGCUAACUCCGUG
rnacentral:rRNA from 1 species